GUGGCGGGAGAGUAGCUACAUUAUCGUCUGGCUGCACUUGCUGGCGGACAAGUGAUUAUUUUCUGCCCUGCUGGCAACCCCAUUUGCCCUCGGUGUUAUUCUUUCUCUGUGCUCCUACUUCUGGUGCUAAAGAGAUUAUUGGUUAUAAUAAGCAGUGCCCCAAAUGUGAUUUCUCCAAUGGACAAUACGCUUGCUUCCCAAGUGCUGCCUUCACCCCUACGAUGGAAGCUUCAUGAAAACUAGGACCACGGGUGAAAUUACUCACAAUUUCCCUUGUGUCUUCCUGUAUUUUGUACAGGUGAUAACAAAAAGCCUUCUUUUGUGUUUCUCUGUAUAUUGCAAGUCACUUUUGCCUUUUUAAUCAGGCAGAGGGUAUUAAAAACAAUGAACUUUC